rnacentral:rRNA from 1 species
CACGGUACCACUCUGAAUAUGCCUGAUCUCGUCUGAUCUCGGAAGCUAAGCAGGGUUACUUGGAUGGGAGAUCUCCUGGGAAUACUGGGCGCUGGGA